AAAAAUGCCAGUCCCCGUACGAUCACCGAAGUUAAGCAAUGUCGAGCCUAGUCAGUAGCUAGGUGGGUAGCCGCUUGGUAAUUCUAAGUGCC